rnacentral:rRNA from 1 species
AGAGUUUGAUCAUGGCUCAGAUUGAACGCUGGCGGUAGGCCUAACACAUGCAAGUCGAACGCGAAAGUCCUUCGGGAUGAGUAGAGUGGCGACGGGUGAGUAACGCGUAGGAAUCUAUCCUGUAGUGGGGGAUAACGUUUCGAAAGGAACGCUAAUACCGCAUACGCCCCCACGGGGGAAAAGCGGGGGAUCUUCGGACCUCGUGCUAUAGGAGGAGCCUGCGUCGGAUUAGCUAGUUGGUGAGGUAAAGGCUCACCAAGGCGACGAUCCGUAGCUGGUCUGAGAGGAUGAUCAGCCACACCGGAACUGAGACACGGUCCGGACUCCUACGGGAGGCAGCAGUGGGGAAUAUUGCGCAAUGGGCGAAAGCCUGACGCAGCCAUACCGCGUGUGUGAAGAAGGCCUUCGGGUUGUAAAGCACUUUCAGUGGGGAGGAAAAGCGGGUGGCUAAUAUCCAUCGGCCGUGACGCUACCCACAGAAGAAGCACCGGCUAAUUCCGUG